ACCACUGCUAGCCCAAUACGCCCCACACACUAAAAUAUAUCAGCAAAUAAAUUAAAUCAUUUAGUUACGAAUCAAAGUACAGGAGAUGGAAAUGAAAUAUUGGCGCUAUAGAGAUAGUACCGUAAGGGAAAGAUGAAAGAACCUAAGUAUAAGUACAAAAAAGCAAAGAUUAACCCUUGUACCUUUUGCAUAAUGGAUCAACUAGAACAAGUCUAGCAAAAAGAAUUGAAGUUAGACACCCCGAAACCAAACGAGCUACCUAAGAACAAUUUUAUGAAUGAACCCGUCUAUGUGGCAAAAUAGUGGGACGAUUUUUAGGUAGAGGUGAAACGCCUAACGAGCUUGGUGAUAGCUGGUUGUCCAGGCAAGAAUUUUAGUUCAGCUUUAAAUUUACUCAAAGAACACCAAAAUCCCCACGUAAGUUUAAUUGCUAGUCUAAAGAGGGACAGCUCUUUAGAUAAAGGAUAAAACCUCAGUUAGAGAAUAAGAACCCAAUAUUAACAUUGUUGGCUUAGAAGCAGCCACCAAUAAAGAAAGCGUUAAAGCUCAAAUUACUAUAACUACAACCUGAUUCCUCUAGCAGCAACAAAUUCCUAACUUGACCACUGGACCAAUCUAUUUUUCAAUAGAUGAGAUAAUGUUGGUAUGAGUAACAAGAAUGACUAUUCUCCUAGCACAAGUGUAUAUCAGAUCGAAUGAUUCACUGAUAGUUAACUCAAAAUGAAUAAACAAACAUAACCAAGCCUCUUUCUAACAAUUGAGUUGACCCGACACAGGAGUGCGUAUAGGAAAGAUGAAAAGAAGUAAAAGGAACUCGGCAAACACAAGCCCCGCCUGUUUACCAAAAACAUCACCUCUAGCAUGAAAAGUAUUAGAGGCACUGCCUGCCCGGUGACUUACGUUAAACGGCCGCGGUAUCCUGACCGUGCAAAGGUAGCAUAAUCAUUUGUUCCUUAAUUAGGGACUUGUAUGAACGGCAAGACGAGGGUUUAACUGUCUCUUACUUCCCAUCAGUGAAAUUGACCUCCCAGUGAAGAGGCUGGGAUAAAGAAAUAAGACGAGAAGACCCUAUGGAGCUUUAAUCUAAUGGCUUACUAGACUACCGACUCUCACCUCUACGGAGAUUAAAAAUUUAGCCUAAAAUAAGCCUGCGAUUUUGGUUGGGGUGACCUCGGAGAAUAAAAAAUCCUCCGAAUGAAUAAAACUAAGAUUCACGAAUCUAAGUUAUUAAUUCAACUUAUUGACCCAAAAUUUUUAAUAUUUGAUCAACGGACCAAGUUACCCUAGGGAUAACAGCGCAAUCCUAUUUGAGAGUCCAUAUCGACAAUAGGGUUUACGACCUCGAUGUUGGAUCAGGACAUCCCAAUGGUGCAGAAGCUAUUAAAGGUUCGUUUGUUCAACGAUUAAAGUCCUACGUGAUCUGAGUUCAGACCGGAGUGAUCCAGGUCGGUUUCUAUCUAUUAGCAAUUUCUCCCAGUACGAAAGGAUCAGAGAAAUGGAGCCUCCUAUAACAUUAGCGCUCCUAUAAUUAUAGAUGAAAUAAUCUUAAUCUAGAAACUAUGCAAAAUAUACAACCCAAGACCAGGGUU
rnacentral:rRNA from 1 species